rnacentral:rRNA from 1 species
CCCUUUGAUGUUCCUGGCCGCACGCGCGCUACAAUGGCUGUGUCCACGAGCCUUCUUGGGAUCGUUCAGUGUUAUCGAGAGAUGCACCGUUCCUAUCGACCCCUUAAAGGGUGGACGAAAUCUUGUGCAAUGCAGUCUUGUUUCGGGAUAGAGCUCUGAAAUUCCGGCUCUUGAACGAGGAAUUCCUAGUAGGUGUGCGUCACCACCGCGUGCCGAUUACGUCCCUGCUCUUUGUACACACCGCCCGUCGCUACUACCGAUGGAGUGUCUGGAUGAGGUCCCCGGAAACGCCAGCGAUGGCCGGAAGAUUGCCCAGCCCACACACUUAGAGGAAGUAAAAGUCGUANCA